AUAGUCGGAUUCGCAUCAAUCCACAUAUGUUUGGAUAGAUUGGAGUGGAUCUUGAACUGAAUUUUACCCCAAUCCACUCCAACACAUGUAGAUUUAGGUGAAUCCGACA
rfam:Sorghum bicolor cultivar BTx623 chromosome 1, whole genome shotgun sequence.